rnacentral:rRNA from 1 species
UGGGGAAUAUUGGACAAUGGGGGCAACCCUGAUCCAGCCAUGCCGCGUGUGUGAAGAAGGCCUUUUGGUUGUAAAGCACUUUAAGCAGUGAAGAAGACUCCAUGGUUAAUACCCAUGGACGAUGACAUUAGCUGCAGAAUAAGCACCGGCUAACUCUGUGCCAGCAGCCGCGGUAAUACAGAGGGUGCAAGCGGUAAUCGGAAUUACUGGGCGUAAAGCGAGCGUAGGUGGCUUGAUAAGUCAGAUGUGAAAGCCCCGGGCUUAACCUGGGAACGGCAUCUGAUACUGUUAGGCUAGAGUAGGUGAGAGGAAGGUAGAAUUCCAGGUGUAGCGGUGAAAUGCGUAGAGAUCUGGAGGAAUACCGAUGGCGAAGGCAGCCUUCUGGCAUCAUACUGACACUGAGGUUCGAAAGCGUGGGUAGCAAACA